GCGAGUAUAACUCAGUGGUAGAGUGUGACCUUGCCAAGGUUGAUGUCGCGCGUUCGAAUCGCGUUACUCGCU
rnacentral:tRNA from 1 species